UAUGACCUACGAUUAGCCUGUUUUUUAAAAAGUAGGCAAUUACCAACCUGGCAAACUAAAAAUUUCAAGCGCCACAUUCAAACUAAAUAAUUUACAAGAGAUGCGAGGGAUGAUCUGUUUGUGGCACAAAUACAUUAUUUAAACGUCCUAUUGAUAGAUGGGACAGUUUCCAUCAAACAAUGAAGUCGGCAAGAUAUUUGUGUUAAAUGUCUUGGAGUAAAGCGACUAGAGAUGAAACCUUUACACCAUUUUCCCGGAUACCACCAAUCGGAAGUAAAAGUAAUAAUUUCAAAAAUUACAGAACGGAAAGUAAAGCUCUAGAGGUAGGGACGAGAAAUGCUGCAUUCCCAUUCAAAAAAAGAAAAUUACAACCAAACGAUAUUUCUAAAUCGUUGGAAUCUAACCGCUUGCUAAUUCGUCGCAAAACUUACGUUGUCCUCGAGCCGCUGGUUUGUAAACCUGAUAAAAACAAAUACCCAAAAAAUGCUUAUAAAUAAAUUUAUUGAUUUAUUUGCAA